UGUUGGUCAAGCUCAAAACCAGAAAGAACUUCAAGAAUUUGAGAGGUGGUACGUAGAUUGUAGGUUGGACACGUUGAAAUACGCACGAGAUGUAAAAAACAUUUGCCAUUUUCUGGCUUCAUCGAUUUUUGCUGAUC